AGUGAUGGGAAAUGCAGCUCCUGGGGCAAUGCCUUGGCCAGGGACAGGAGCCCUUUGGACAGUCAGCAGAGAGGGCACGUGCUCCCUUCUCCCUCCAGUGAUCCUCAGCUGCAAACUAACCAGACAUCAGGUCUCCUGCUGCCAGUGAUGACCCAAAGUUUCUGCUGUUCUGAAAGACAGACAGUUCCCUCUCCCUGACAGGGCCAGCAGGGCACACCAGGAUGGGAAGCUGGUGCAAUGUUUUCCCUGGUUCACUGAACCAUUUAAAGCAGGU